UACGUAGGGUGCGAGCGUUGUCCGGAAUUAUUGGGCGUAAAGAGCUCGUAGGCGGUGUGUCGCGUCGGCCGUGAAAACCUGCAGCUUAACUGGGGAACUGCGUCUGAUACUGGAUGGCUUGGAUUUGGGAGAGGGAUGCGGAAUUCCAGGUGUAGCGGUGAAAUGCGUAGAUAUCUGGAGGAACACCGGUGGCGAAGGCGGCAUCCUGGACCAAUAUUGACGCUGAGGAGCGAAAGCCAGGGGAGCAAACGGG
rnacentral:rRNA from 1 species